rnacentral:rRNA from 1 species
GAUGAACGCUGGCGGCGUGCCUAAUACAUGCAAGUCGAGCGAACGGACGAGAAGCUUGCUUCUCUGAUGUUAGCGGCGGACGGGUGUGUAACACGUGGAUAACCUACCUAUAAGACUGGGAUAACUUCGGGAAACCGGAGCUAAUACCGGAUAAUAUUUUGAACCGCAUGGUUCAAAAGUGAAAGACGGUCUUGCUGUCACUUAUAGAUGGAUCCGCGCUGCAUUAGCUAGUUGGUAAGGUAACGGCUUACCAAGGCAACGAUGCAUAGCCGACCUGAGAGGGUGAUCGGCCACACUGGAACUGAGACACGGUCCAGACUCCUACGGGAGGCAGCAGUAGGGAAUCUUCCGCAAUGGGCGAAAGCCUGACGGAGCAACGCCGCGUGAGUGAUGAAGGUCUUCGGAUCGUAAAACUCUGUUAUUAGGGAAGAACAUAUGUGUAAGUAACUGUGCACAUCUUGACGGUACCUAAUCAGAAAGCCACGGCUAGCUACGUG